UACGUAGGGUGCAAGCGUUGUCCGGAAUUAUUGGGCGUAAAGAGCUCGUAGGCGGUUUGUUGCGUCGGCUGUGAAAUCCCGAGGCUCAACCUCGGGUCUGCAGUCGAUACGAGCAAACUAGAGUGUUGCAGGGGAGACUGGAAUUCCUGGUGUAGCGGUGAAAUGCGCAGAUAUCAGGAGGAACACCGGUGGCGAAGGCAGCUCGCUAGGACGGUACUGACGCUGAGACGCGAAAGCGUGGGGAGCGAACAGG
rnacentral:rRNA from 1 species